AUCUUUGCCAUGUCCCUUAUCUGAGUUAGCUCACUUCUGAAGAGUGUAUAAAGGUCCCAUGCCGUCACUUUUGAACUAUAGGAGGACCUCCACACUCACAUCAGGAAUGUCAUGCCCUGGGAUCACAAGCAUCUAACCCUCACUACCAAAUUCUCUCCAAAUAGCUAUGCUACUAGGGUGGAAUUCCACCUUCUCUCUUCUAGUAUUAGUAAAUCAACAAACCACUUCCCCACUAUCUGCUCUACAUCCACAA
rnacentral:lncRNA from 1 species